rnacentral:rRNA from 1 species
GUGGGGAAUCUUCCACAAUGGACGAAAGUCUGAUGGAGCAACGCCGCGUGAGUGAAGAAGGGUUUCGGCUCGUAAAGCUCUGUUGUCGGGGACGAAUGUGCAGUAUUUGAAUAAAGUAUUGCAAUGACGGUACCUGACGAGGAAGCCACGGCUAACUACGUGCCAGCAGCCGCGGUAAUACGUAGGUGGCAAGCGUUGUCCGGAAUUAUUGGGCGUAAAGGGAGCGCAGGCGGGAAGGUAAGUCGGUCUUAAAAGUGCGGGGCUCAACCCCGUGAUGGGAUCGAAACUAUCUUUCUUGAGUGCAGGAGAGGAAAGUGGAAUUCCUAGUGUAGCGGUGAAAUGCGUAGAUAUUAGGAGGAACACCAGUGGCGAAGGCGACUUUCUGGACUGUAACUGACGCUGAGGCUCGAAAGCCAGGGGAGCGAACGGGAUUAGAUACCCGAGUAGUCC